UAAUGAAGCAUUCACAGAGGACGAGACCAGGCGUAAUCGCAAGAGGUGAAGUCAUAAUUACCCAGCAUUAUCUGUAAUCACACACCUUCACUGAGACAGGCAAGCAAGCAUGCACAGUCACAUGUACCGUAGGUCACAUACAACAUUGGAAACAGAAAACGAACAACAAUAUGAAACAGAAUAUAAUUUCCUGGGAUCCAAGCUGUAGGCGGAGUGUGUGUGUGUGUUAAUGAGUCAUUCACAGCGGACGAGACGAGGCGUAAUCACAGAGGUGAAGUCAUGAGAGAGAGAGAGAGAGAGAGAGAGAGAGAGAGAGAGAGAGAGAGAGAGAGAGAGAGAGAGAGAGAGAGAGAGAGAGAGAGAAGGGAAUGAACAAGGAGAGGGAGCAGGUAGAGAUCAGAGAGAAUGAACAAGGAGAGAAGGAGAGGGAGCAGGUAGAGAUCAGAGAGAAUGAACAAGGAGAGAAGGAGAGGGAGCAGGUAGAGAUCAGAGAGAAUGAACAAGGAGAGAAGGAGAGGGAGCAGGUAGAGAUCAGAGAGAAUGAACAAGGAGAGAAGGAGAGGGAGCAGGUAGAGAUCAGAGAAUCAACAAGGAGAGGAUGAAAGAGCAACAAGAUCUCAUGGUCUCACCAAUUUGACUUCAGAUUCUGACGUUUAACUUCUUACAUCUAGAUGUUCCGCUAGCGGAACGCCUC
rnacentral:lncRNA from 1 species